AAAAGUACUUUGAAGAGAGAGUUCAAGAGGACGUGAAACCGGUAGGAUGGAAACGGAUAGAGCCAACGAACAAGCCCGUAUUCAGCUAGUCGGCUGCGUGCGGCAUGCCUGUGUGCUCGUUCAGGGUGCAUGGGUGUGUGCGGUAUGCGGUCGGCUAGUGCAUUUGCGGGUGAUGUGCGCUGAGGCGUGUGGCGGAGUCCUGCAAACUGUCUGGAGAGGCCUCGCCUUCGGGCUUGAAACCUACAGGCGGGGAGUCGGGUUUCUGCUGCAUGUAGACGAAGCGGCUAGGUGCAAACGCGCUGUCGUGCUGCCGGGCUAGCUGCUUGGCCGGUCGCAUGCGACUAGGUCUUGUUGGUUGGUCUUGGUGGUACGGCAGUGCCCUGGUCGACCCUCGGUGUAAAAGUUGGUCAUCUCUCCGACCCGUCUUGAAACACGGACCAAGGAGUCUAGCGUAUGCGCGAGUCAUUGGGUGGAAAACCCAUAGGCGAAAUGAAAGUGAAGGUCUCUUCAUGAGGCUGAUAUGCGAUCCGUUGCACUACGGUGUACGCGGAGCAGCAUAGCCCCGUCUCGACUGCUUGCAGUGGGGCGGAGGUAGAGCGUAUACGCUGGUACCCGAAAGAUGGUGAACUAUGCCUGAGCAGGAUGAAGCCAGAGGAAACUCUGGUGGAGGUCCGAAGCGCUUCUGACGUGCAAAUCGAUCGUCUGACUUGGGUAUAGGGGCGAAAGACUAAUCGAACCAUCUAGUAGCUGUUUCCUCCCGAAACAUCCCUUGGGAGCCGACCCCCUAAAAAAUGAGCUCGAGCUGAUGGGAGUAUAUCCUUGGACUUACUGGCGCACCUCAUCGAUUGAACACUACGCUGGGGGAGUAAGACCGCAUGUUGAAACUCACAGGAAUUGAUCGGCAGCCGCACGAUCAGUGAANAUGCUGGUUAAUUCGAAGCACGCUGACAACUUAGCAGUUCU
rnacentral:rRNA from 1 species